GACUGCAGCUCUACCACCCUGAACAGGCCGCAUCACAACUGAAGUUAAGCAGGGUCAGGCCUGAGGGGUCCUUGGAUGGGUGGCAGCAGGGU
ensembl:rRNA 5S_rRNA 5S ribosomal RNA